AUUGAACGCUGGCGGCGGGCCUAACACAUGCAAGUCGAACGAGCGGAGGACGGGUGAGGAAUGUCUGGGAAACUGCCUGAUGGAGGGGGAUCACUACUGGAAACGGUAGCUAAUACCGCAUACCAUCAGAUGUGCCGAGAGGGGAUUGGCUAGUAGGUGGGGUAACGGCUCACCUAGGCGACGAUCCCUAGCUGGUCUGAGAGGAGGACCAGCCACACUGGAACUAAGACACUGUCCAGACUCCUACGGGAGGCAGCAGUGGGGAAUAUUGCACAAUGGGCGCAAGCCUGAUGCAGCCAUGCCGCGUGUGUGAAGAAGGCCUUCGGGUUGUAAAGCACUUUCAGCGGGGAGGCGUUACCCGCAGAAGAAGCACCGACUAACUCCGUGCCAGCCGCCGCGGUAAUAC
rnacentral:rRNA from 1 species